AGAUCUGUGGUGUAAACGGAUAGCAUGGAGGUCUCCAAAACCUCAGAUUUCGGAUCAUACCCGAACGGAUCUGCCA
rnacentral:tRNA from 1 species